CCUACGGGUGGCAGCAGUGAGGAAUAUUGGUCAAUGGGCGUAAGCCUGAACCAGCCAAGUCGCGUGAGGGAUGAAGGUUCUAUGGAUCGUAAACCUUUUUUAUAAGGGAAUAAAGUGCGGGACGUGUCCCGUUUUGUAUGUACCUUAUGAAUUAGGAUCGGCUAACUCCGGGCCAGCAGCCGCGUUAAUACGGAGGAUCCGAGCGUUAUCCGGAUUUAUUGGGUUUAAAGGGUCCGUAGGCGGCCUUUUAAGCCUGCGGUGAAAGGCUGUGGCUCAACCAUAGAAUUGCCGUUGAAACUGGGAGGCUUGAGGAUGUUUGAGGCAGGCGGAAUGCGUGGUGUAGGGGAGAAAGGCUUAGAUAUCACGCAGAACCCGGAAGGCGAAGGCGGCCUGCCAAGCCAUGACUGACGCUGAUGCACG
rnacentral:rRNA from 1 species